rnacentral:rRNA from 1 species
UGGGGAAUAUUGGACAAUGGGCGAAAGCCUGAUCCAGCCAUGCCGCGUGUGUGAAGAAGGUCUUCGGAUUGUAAAGCACUUUAAGUUGGGAGGAAGGGCAGUAAGCGAAUACCUUGCUGUUUUGACGUUACCGACAGAAUAAGCACCGGCUAACUCUGUGCCAGCAGCUGCGGUAAUACAGAGGGUGCAAGCGUUAAUCGGAAUUACUGGGCGUAAAGCGCGCGUAGGUGGUUCGUUAAGUUGAAUGUGAAAGCCCCGGGCUCAACCUGAGAACUGCAUCCAAAACUGGCGAGCUAGAGUAGGGCAGAGGGUGGUUGAAUUUCCUGUGUAGCGGUGAAAUGCGUAGAUAUAGGAAGGAGCACCCGUGGCGAAGGCGACCACCUGGGCUCAUACUGACACUGAGGUGCGAAAGCGUGGGGAGCAAACAGG